GUACCCAUUUUACGCAAGGAUGGGUCACGUUGAGACCACAUGAUGCGGCAAGGACGUCCUUUGAUGAGAGUAUAGUUAAGCUCAUCCAAGGCCUUCUCACCAUCUUCCAUAUUGUGGAAGUUGACAUAGGCAUAACCCAAAGAACGGCGAGUAACGGCAUCACGGCAAACACGAAUACUUGCAACGGGUCCAAUACUGUUAAACAGCUCAAAAAGCAUAGCCUCAGUGACGGAGGGAUCGAGCUCACCAACGUACAAGGAAGCACUGGUGGGAGCAGUGCCAGAGGGAGUGGCAACCGAACUAGCAUUAGUAGGGGUAGAGGUAGACUCGGAGGGUUCGGCAGCGGCUUCAGGCUCCUCUGCCUUCUUCUCGGGUUGAGUUUCGGUGGAAGGAGUGUUGGAAGACUCCUCCUUGGUAGA